rnacentral:rRNA from 1 species
GAUGAACGCUGGCGGCGUGCCUCAAACAUGCAAGUCGAGCGGGGCUAUGUAAUAUCGCAAGGUAGAACAUAGCCUAGCGGCGAACGGGUGAGUAACACGUGGGUAACCUGCCUGGAAGACAGGGAUAACGAUUCGAAAGGGUCGCUAAUACCUGAUAAUAUCCUUUCAUCGCAUGGUGAUAGGAAGAAAGGGGAAACCCGCUUUCAGAUGGGCCCGCGUCCCAUCAGCUAGUUGGUAAGGUAAAGGCUUACCAAGGCGACGACGGGUAGCCGGUCUGAGAGGAUGUACGGCCACACUGGGACUGAGAUACGGCCCAGACUCCUACGGGAGGCAGCAGUUGGGAAUCUUAGGCAAUGGACGAAAGUCUGACCUAGCGACGCCGCGUGAGGGAAGAAGGCCUUGGGUUGUAAACCUCUGUCAUGGGGGAAGAAGUAAGUGACGGUACCCCAAGAGGAAGCCCCUGCUAACUACGUG